UACGUAGGGGGCAAGCGUUGUCCGGAAUCAUUGGGCGUAAAGAGCGUGUAGGCGGCUCGAUAAGUCCGCUGUGAAAGUCCAGGGCUCAACCCUGGAAGGCCGGUGGAAACUGUCGGGCUAGAGUCCGGAAGAGGCGAGUGGAAUUCCCGGUGUAGCGGUGAAAUGCGCAGAUAUCGGGAGGAACACCAAUGGCGAAGGCAGCUCGCUGGGACGGUACUGACGCUGAGACCCGAAAUCGUGGGGAGCAAACAGG
rnacentral:rRNA from 1 species